GACGAACGCUGGCGGCGUGCUUAACACAUGCAAGUCGAACGGUGAAGCGCCUUCCUUUUUGGUGGGUGUGGAUGAGUGGCGAACGGGUGAGUAACACGUGAGUAACCUGCCCCCUUCUUCUGGAUAACCGCAUGAAAGUGUGUCUAAUACGGGAUAUUCUGGGUCUGUCGCAUGAUGGGUCUGGGAAAGUUAUUGGUUCGGUGGGGGAUGGGCUGGCGGCCUAUCAGGUUGUUGGUGGGGUGAUGGCCUACCAAGGCGGUGACGGGUCGCCGGCCUGAGAGGGUGGCCGGCCAGAGUGGGAGAGGGGCAAGGCCGAGACUGAGACGGGAGGCAGCAGUGGGGGGUAGGGAACAGUGGGGGAUAGGGUGCAGCGGCGGGGCGGCGUGAGCGACGGCGCCGUUCGGGGUGUGAAGGCCUUCCGGUAGUAAAGCAGGCCCGCCUGGUUUGAGGGGGGGUUGACGGUAGCGGGAGAAGAAGCGCCGGCUAACUACGUG
rnacentral:rRNA from 1 species